rnacentral:rRNA from 1 species
GACGAACGCUGGCGGCGUGCUUAACACAUGCAAGUCGAACGGAAAGGCCCUGCUUUUGUGGGGUGCUCGAGUGGCGAACGGGUGAGUAACACGUGAGUAACCUGCCCUUGACUUUGGGAUAACUUCAGGAAACUGGGGCUAAUACCUGAUAGGAUCUCCUGCUGCUUGGUGGGGGUUGGAAAGUUUCGGCGGUUGGGGAUGGACUCGCGGCUUAUCAGCUUGUUGGUGGGGUAGUGGCUUACCAAGGCUUUGACGGGUAGCCGGCCUGAGAGGGUUACCGGCCAAAGUGGGACUGAGAUACGGACCAGACUGCUACGGGAGGCAGCAGGGGGGAAUAUUGCACAAUGGGCGGAAGCGUGAUGCAGAAACGCCGCGUGCGGGAUGACGGCCUUCGGGUUGUAAACCGCUUUCGCAUGUGACGAAGCGUGAGUGACGGUAAUGGGUAAAGAAGCACCGGCUAACUACGUG